GCGCUGGUGUUUAUUGCAAUGGGGGUACACCUGGUUACAUUUCGAACCCAGCAGUUAAGCCCGUUAGCGCCGAUGGUACUUGUCUCGCAAGGGACUGGGAGAGUAGGACGACGCCAGCGCA
rnacentral:rRNA from 1 species